rnacentral:misc_RNA from 1 species
AACUACGUCGCUUCCGAGCUUCACACUCUGUGUUCCCCUCUCUAUCUUCUCCCUGCUCGUCUUCGACAGCUGUCGCAUACUCUUGCAAAAUGGAGGACUAUAAGGCCAAGGGCAAUGACGCCUUCAAGGCAAAACGGUAUCAGGAAGCGAUUGACUGGUACACCAAGGCCAUCGAGCUGGACCCUAACGGCGAGGCUUCUGGUGCUCUGUACUCGAAUCGUGCAGGCAGCUGGCAAAAUCUGAAUAACUUCGAGAAGGCCGCUGUGGAUUCGAAGCAGUGCAUUCGCUUACGCCCUGAUUGGCUUAAGGGCUACUUCCGCUUGGGUGUCGCCAUGGAGAGCAUGGGCAAGUACGAUGAGGCGCAGAAGGCGUUCCAGAAGGCGCUCCAACUGAGCCCGGGUAACGAGGAGGUGAUGGACAAGCUGCACACCGUUAAUACUAAAGUACGCGAGCGCAACGAAAAGACAAAGUCGCAGCAGUGCAAGACCCCUGAGGAGGCCAAGCAGCUUGGCAACUCCUUCUUCAAGGACGGCAAGUAUGACCAGGCUGCGGAGUUCUACACCCGUGCGAUUGAACUGCAGACGGAGCCCGUCAAGGAGAAGGCGGUGUACUACACUAACCGUGCUGCCUGCCACCAGCAGACGCACAUGUACUCUCUGAUGGUGGAUGACUGCAAUGCCGCGAUCGAGAUCGACCCGGCGAAUGUGAAGGCGUACCUGCGCCGCGGCAUCGCCUACGAAGGCAUGGAGAAGUGGAAGCUUGCGCUGGAAGACUACACGAAGGCGCAGUCCAUUUCUCCCGGCGUGGCAGGCGCGUCUCAGGGUAUUCUGCGAUGCCAACGUGUUCUGCGCAACUAAGUGCAACAGGCACCUUAGAACGGAAAUGCGCUGUCUGCCGUAAGUGACCUCCCUCCUCUUUUGUUGGUUUCAGUUUUUCUUCUCACUCCAUCCCUCGUCGUUUUUGCCUGUGCUAUACAUGCACCGUUCCGUGUCUCGUGUGCGCAAUGUUAGCGUUGGGUUUGGCAGCUUUUUUUUCUCGUUUUCGCUAAGAGAAUGCAAGCAGCGAAAUGUCAGAGCUGCUGAAGAAGGCAGGAAUGAGGAUGAACAGACGUGAUGCAGACGGUACGCAGUCACGAUCAUGUGAUCUUCCGGACGGACUGAAGAUUGGCCGCAUCGAAGGAGCUGCCUCUUCCCCUCU